GACGAACCGUGCGAACGUUGUUCGGAUUCACUGGGCUUAAAGGGCGCGUAGGCGGGUCUCAAGUCCGGGGUGAAAUACUCUCGCUCAACGAGAGAACUGCCCCGGAUACUGGAGACCUCGAGGGAGGUAGGGGCAUGUGGAACUCCGGUGGAGCGGUGAAAUGCGUAGAUAUCGGAAGGAACGCCGGUGGCGAAAGCGACGUGCUGGACCUCAUCU
rnacentral:rRNA from 1 species